AGUGAACGCUGGCGGCGUGCUUAACACAUGCAAGUCGUACGAGAACGGAUUAUAGCUUGCUAUAAUUGUCAGCUAAGUGGCGCACGGGUGAGUAAUGUAUAGAUAACCUGCCCUCUAGAAAGGAAUAACAGUUGGAAACGACUGCUAAUGCCCUAUAUGCCUUUAAUACAUAAGUAUGCAAGGGAAACGCUUUAGUGCUAGAGGAUGGGUCUGUAUGGUAUCAGCUUGUUGGUGAGGUAAUGGCUCACCAAGGCUAUGACGCCUAACUGGUUUGAGAGGAUGAUCAGUCACACUGGAACUGAGACACGGUCCAGACUCCUACGGGAGGCAGCAGUGGGGAAUAUUGCACAAUGGACGAAAGUCUGAUGCAGCAACGCCGCGUGGAGGAUGACACAUUUCGGUGCGUAAACUCCUUUUAUAUAGGAAGAUAAUGACGGUACUAUAUGAAUAAGCACCGGCUAGCUCCGUGCCAGCCGCCGCCGUAA
rnacentral:rRNA from 1 species